rnacentral:rRNA from 1 species
UGCCGGAUGCUCCGACUCCUCGCAUGGGGUGUCGGGAAAGAUUUCAUCGGUAUGGGAUGGGGUCGCGUCCUAUCAGGUAGUCGGCGGGGUAACGGCCCACCGAGCCUACGACGGGUAGCCGGCCUGAGAGGGCGACCGGCCACAUUGGGACUGAGAUACGGCCCAGACUCCUACGGGAGGCAGCAGUGGGGAAUAUUGCACAAUGGGCGCAAGCCUGAUGCAGCGACGCCGCGUGCGGGAUGACGGCCUUCGGGUUGUAAACCGCUUUUGAUCGGGAGCAAGCCUUCGGGUGAGUGUACCUUUCGAAUAAGCACCGGCUAACUACGUGCCAGCAGCCGCGGUAAUACGUAGGGUGCAAGCGUUAUCCGGAAUUAUUGGGCGUAAAGGGCUCGUAGGCGGUUCGUCGCGUCCGGGUGUGAAAGUCCAUCGCUUAACGGUGGAUCUGCGCCGGGUACGGGCGGGCUGGAGUGCGGUAGGGGAGACUGGAAUUCCCGGUGUAACGGUGGAAUGUGUAGAUAUCGGAAA